rnacentral:rRNA from 1 species
ACGGGUGAGUAACGCGUAGGAAUCUGUCUAUGAGAGUGGGACAACACGGGGAAACUCGUGCUAAUACCACAUACGUUCUAAGGAAGAAAGGCUGGGGUAACCCAGUCGCUCAUAGGGGAGCCUGCGUUGGAUUAGCUUGUUGGUGGGGUAACGGCCUACCAAGGCGACGAUCCAUAGCUGUUCUGAGAGGAAGAUCAGCCACACUGGGACUGAGACACGGCCCAGACUCUUACGGGAGGCAGCAGUGGGGAAUAUUGGACAAUGGGCGCAAGCCUGAUCCAGCAAUACCGCGUGUGUGAAGAAGGCCUGAGGGUUGUAAAGCACUUUCAGCGAGGAGGAAGGUUAUCAUGUUAAUAGUAUGGUAAUUUGACGUUACUCGCAGAAGAAGCACCGGCUAACUCUGUGCCAGCAGCCGCGGUAAUACAGAGGGUGCAAGCGUUAAUCGGAAUUACUGGGCGUAAAGAGUGCGUAGGUGGAUAAUUAAGUCAUAUGUGAAAUCCCCGGGCUUAACCUGGGAAUUGCGUCUGAAACUGGUUAUCUAGAGUAUGGUAGAGGAUAGUGGAAUUUCCGGUGUAGCGGUGA